GGACCUGACUGCUAUCGGAUUGAUACUAAGCCAUGCGAGUCUUUGUAGUAAUACAAGGCAGACGGCUCAGUAACGCGUAGUCAAUCUACCCUAUGGACGAGGAUAACCUCGGGAAACUGAGAAUAAUACUCGAUAGAACAUUAUGCCUGGAAUGGUUUAUGUUCCAAAUGAUUUAUCGCCGUAGGAUGGGACUGCGGCCUAUCAGUUUGUUGGUGAGGUAAUGGCCCACCAAGACUAUUACAGGUACGGGCUCUGAGAGGAGUGGCCCGGAGAUGGGUACUGAGACACGGACCCAGGCCCUAUGGGGCGCAGCAGGCGAGAAAACUUUGCAAUGUGCGAAAGCACGACAAGGUUAAUCCGAGUGGUUUCUGCUAAAGAGACCUUUUGUCGGUCCUAGAAACACCGAUGAGUAAGGGGUGGGCAAGUUCUGGUAU
rnacentral:rRNA from 1 species